GAUCAUGGCUCAGGAUUAACGCUGGCGGCGUGCCUAAUACAUGCAAGUCGGAUGGUUAGCUUGCUAACCAUGGCGAACGGGUGAGUAACACGUAGGCAACCUGUCUAAAAGACGAGGAUAACCAUUGGAAACGAUGGAUAAUACUGGAUAGGAUUAUUUAGGGCAUCCUAGAUAAUUUAAAGAUUUAUCACUUUUAGAGGGGCCUGCGGCGCAUUAGCUAGUUGGUAGAGGUAAAGGCCUACCAAGGCGAUGAUGCGUAGCCGGACUGAGAGGUUGAACGGCCACAAUGGGACUGAGAACGGCCCAUACUCCUACGGGAGGCAGCAGUAGGGAAUUUUCGGCAAUGGGCGGAAGCCUGAACCCGAGCAACGCCGCGUGAACGAAGAAGUAUUUCGGUAUGUAAAGUUCUUUUAUUUGGGAAGAAAAGACAGAUUGACUGUACCAAAUGAAUAAGCUCCGGCUAACUACGUGCCAGCAGCCGC
rnacentral:rRNA from 1 species